ensembl:lncRNA
ACUGGGUGGGGUGGAGGGAUUGAGGAGGGAGCGGUCUGAGUCUCCUGGUCUCCGUUUCUGCUGCCCUCGGUCUCUCUCAGCCUCUAUCCUACCAGGGGUGCAUGGAGAGGCAGUUUGAGGGCAGCCAGGAGAUAUUCUUGGAGUCCUUGAGGUUCAGCGUGGACAAUGAAGUUGCCAUGGAAGGAAGUCACAGGCGGCCACAAGAAGGUGACAUUUGAGAGACGGCCUCGGACAUGGGAUAUUUAACCCAUCUGUAUUUUCAUCCACACCUGAUCAAGCCCACCAAGGCAGAAUGGACUUUAAAAGUUAAGGGAGAAACAAUCUUGGAUCACGUGGUGCUCUGGUUUAGCUGUGCUGACCAGCAGGUGAAGACACGCCGAUCCCCCUUCUCCCUCUGGAAUCUGGCAGGAUUUGGACGGGGAUGACCUGACCCCUCCCCCAUACUGGAUAAUGACGCGCCUGCCUCCCAGUGCUCUGCCAGGACCUGAGGCUGCCUUGAUGCCCAAUCCAGGACCAGGGGAAGUUCCUGCCCUGCUCUUCCACCAGCUCUCCCGGAGUUCGUAGAGCUGCCACCUUGGCAGGCUCCGAUCCCAUCGAUGGAGACCUCUGGUCAGUGCCCCCAGAAUUCUACCUCAGCUGGACCUCCUAGACUGUAUCCACCUCUCCCAGUGAGUACUGAUGGGAAGGGGGAAGAAAACACAGCCAUUAGACAGAGGCUGCACUCCGCCAAGGAACAAGGGGAAAGAACCCCACUACAGAUGCCCCUCAGAGAGUACAACAGCCUCCAGUUCAGGACGCAUGGGGCACUACCGUCCACCCCCUGUAGCCUAUUAUUAUCAACCAUUUUCCUCUACGGAUAUAUUAAACUGACAGAGACACGCUCCACCAUACUCGGGGGAGCCACAAGCCACGAUUAGGCUAAUGGAGACUAUUUUUCAAACCCACCGCCCUACAUAGGAUGACAUAAUCCAACUACUAGGCUCCCUUUUCAGCACUGAGGACAGACACAGGAUCCUAACUGAGGCCAGAAAAUGGUUAAGAGAAGUGGCACCUGAGGGUACUGCAAGCCCGCAGCGGUGGGCAGAACGAGCCACCCUGAGGAGAGGCCCGACUGGGACUGUAACACAGAGGAGGGAGGGCCACCUGGGAGAUAGCAGGUGGCCAUUUUACAAGGUCUCAAAUCAGGGGCCCGAAAAGCUAUGAGUAUCACAAAACCCUCCGAAGUGAUUCAAAGGGAAAGCAAAUCACCCUCUGAGUUCUGCGAAGGACUGUGCGAGGCCUAUAGACUUUAUACGCCAAUAGACCCA